CGACCUUCUCAGCCUAAGUACCCCUCUCCCAAUGUCUUCCUCACCCCCGUUCAUCAGGCACCUCAUACUAUCCGACCAGCCUCUGCGAAGUUGAACUGGUAUACGAAACGGGCCGCACUGACAGGGAUCUAUAACACCACUGAGCUGGUGAUGAUACAGGACUCCUCAGAAGACUUCCAGGACACCU